UUCUUCCGCUAGUCCUAACUCUACCUCCUCCACAAAUUUGAUUUUAACUAAUUUUGUCUAUACCAUCUUCUACGUGAAUUCUUCACCAUUCAACCUCAACCCAAAAAAGUAUCCAAACAAGUGACUUAAUCAAAGACAUAAAAUUUCUGACAAAGGAGCAAUUCUUACCUAGUCAUGCAACCCCAAAUCAAGCAAUAUUUUCUCAUGAGAAAGACUCCUUUUGCCUGCACCAUAUUUUGAAUAAGGAGCUUAUAGAUACUAUGGAUAAAUUCAAGUAUUCAACAUCCUCUUAAUCUCAUAAAACACUUGUAAUAUUCUUGGCUAUUAUGGUGUGUAUCAUUUGUUGACGGCGGUG
rnacentral:lncRNA from 1 species